UUAUAAACAUGUGUGUACAAAUGUGCCUCUUGGAUGAAGUAACAUGUACUAAAACGACGGAGAAAAGAAUAUUUGCCGGUGCUAAAACGUUAAAAAUGCAUUCCUUGGAUUAUGGGGAAUAUGCAUUUCACCUGAUUCAGGAGAAGAAAUAAAACGUGUAUUAAGACAAAUUACACCUGACUAUGGACCCACAGGGUCCGAAAUGCAUCGUAUUGUUAAUAAACACGAAAAAUUUGUGACUGAA